rnacentral:rRNA from 1 species
CCUACGGGAGGCAGCAGUGAGGAAUAUUGGUCAAUGGCCGUAAGGCUGAACCAGCCAAGUAGCGUGAGGGAAGACUGCCCUAUGGGUUGUAAACCUCUUUUAUGCGUGGAUAAAGGUGUCCACGUGUGGCUGUUUGCAGGUACCGCAUGAAUAAGGACCGGCUAAUUCCGUGCCAGCAGCCGCGGUAAUACGGAAGGUCCGGGCGUUAUCCGGGUUUAUUGGGGUUAAAGGGGGCGUAGGCCGGUCCUUAAGGGUGCCGGGAAAUUUUGUGGCUCAACCAUGAGAGUGCGGCGGAAACUGGAGACCUUGAGUGCGCGAGAGGCAGGCGGAAUGCGUGGUGUAGCGGUGAAAUGCAUAGAUAUCACGAAGAACCCCGAUUGCGAAGGCAGCCUGCCGCCGCGUUACUGACGCUGAAGCACGAAAGCGCGGGUAUCGAACAGGAUUAGAUACCCUAGUAGUC